ACCGGAAUCAUGGUGAUAUCUGUGCACAGGUGGUUGUUGGUGUGGAAUUCCUUAAGUGGGUGUGUGUAGUACUUCUAGAUGAUGAUCCAAGCUGCCUUCUUCACAGCCUUGGUUUGACUUCAUGGUCUUGGUGUGAAUCUGGCCUAUGUUGGCAGUACCUUCGGGUUGUCCUGUUUGUUCCAGCCCUCGGAUUGCCAGUCUGUACUCCCGGAGUCUCCAGUCUCAGAGAAACUGUAGCACCCGCUCUGUGGUCUUUUGCUUCUGGCUUUGCUUUCUCAGUUAACGUUGUGAAGAGCCCUUCAGUCAGCAUCUUCUUCCCUCACAGAGGAGAGUACCUCAUGCCGAAGCACAAAAAAAAUUGUGUCAAUGAGCCACUGAAGCUAUUAUAGUGGCAAUUUCUGGCACAGUGCAGGGGCGGAGAGCCAUUAUCAGCUUGAAGGAAGCAGCUCUCAGAGGACACCAGACUUACCGGAUGUCUUUUCAUGCGUGGCCCAUUUCUCUAUGGUUUCUGUGAAUGGAGGCAGCUGAGGGGAGGAGCCUUUUUGAUAGAUGCCUGGGUGGACAUCCACCGAUUCAUUCCAUCUCACCUUCCAUCUCAAUGUCUCAAAUAGAAGGAAACCUGAGCAGGUAGAUGAGUUCUGUCACCAUGACAACUAAACAAAUCCGCAGAUGAAGGUAAGAAGAGGAAAAAGACCAUUGGGUGAUGAUGCCUGCGCCUGCACCACCUUCCCUCACGGAGAUAGGCUUGUCACCUCCUCAUCCUCAGCUUGGGAUUUCUUCUUCUUCUCUUGUUUAGGACCCAGGUGAGCAAGUAGGACUGACUGGUCGCGAUACCUUGGACACUGCCACUUGGCGUCAUCCCAGACCUGGGAGCAGCUGCCCAGCCAGCUAAGGGAGCCUCCCCACCAGAGGUGCGGCAUAGAGAAUGUACUGCUCCAGCUUCCAGCUUCCCCAGGCCGUGUUUACAGUGCCACGCUGUGCAAAUUGGAGAGUUUUCUCUCCGUGAACAUCUGGGCGGACCAGCUGGACACGUGUUUCCCUUCGCAUUAAUUUAGGCUCCUAAUUAAUCGUGCAAAAACCCAAACCAAAUAAUCAGGAAUCGGGACUGAAAAUAAUCAUUAGCCCCACCCCGCGGCACACACAAUUCAAUGAGAACUUGGCCCAGGUGAUGGGGGCUCGCUUGGCUCAGGGCUGUGGUGUGGAAUUGUGGUUCUACAACUGGGAGUUCACCAAAAAGAAGUGCCAGGAAACACACGGCCAUCUGUCUUGCGCAGGGCAGCCUCAAAGCCAAUGGGUGGGAUCUGUGUCCAAUAAUUCCUAAGGAUGCCUUCAGUGAACCGAGUGUAUUGGGUUCAAUGGUGUCAGGCAGCCUGAGUUCAAACCCUCCCUGUGGUAGC
rnacentral:lncRNA from 1 species